rnacentral:rRNA from 1 species
AACGAACGCUGGCGGCAGGCUUAACACAUGCAAGUCGAACGCAUGCCUUCGGGCAUGAGUGGCAGACGGGUGAGUAACGCGUGGGAACCUACCCCUUGGUACGGGAUAGCUCCGGGAAACUGGAGAUAAUACCGUAUGUGUCCUGAGGGACAAAGAUUCAUCGCCAAGGGAUGGGCCCGCGUCGGAUUAGCUAGUUGGUGGGGUAACGGCCUACCAAGGCGACGAUCCGUAGCUGGUCUAAGAAGAUGAUCAGCCACAUUGGGACUGAGACACGGCCCAAACUCCUACGGGAGGCAGCAGUGGGGAAUAUUGGACAAUGGGCGCAAGCCUGAUCCAGCCAUGCCGCGUGAGUGAUGAAGGCCCUAGGGUUGUAAAGCUCUUUCACCGGUGACGAUAAUGACGGUAACCGGAGAAGAAGCCCCGGCUAACUUCGUG